rnacentral:rRNA from 1 species
UAGGGAAUCUUCCACAAUGGACGAAAGUCUGAUGGAGCAACGCCGCGUGAGUGAAGAAGGGUUUCGGCUCGUAAAGCUCUGUUGGUAGUGAAGAAAGAUAGAGGUAGUAACUGGCCUUUAUUUGACGGUAAUUACUUAGAAAGUCACGGCUAACUACGUGCCAGCAGCCGCGGUAAUACGUAGGUGGCAAGCGUUGUCCGGAUUUAUUGGGCGUAAAGCGAGUGCAGGCGGUUCAAUAAGUCUGAUGUGAAGCCUUCGGCUCAACCGGAGAAUUGCAUCAGAAACUGUUGAACUUGAGUGCAGAAGAGGAGAGUGGAACUCCAUGUGUAGCGGUAG